rnacentral:lncRNA from 1 species
UACUAUUUUUAAAAAGUAUCUUGAGGUAAAUUUUUCAGUAUAAAAAUUUAGUACAUUAAGGUACCGUGUAUCUUGGAAUACCAGAAUUAAAAUCCUAACCAUCUCUACUCAACAUUAGAUGAACGAUGCAUCAACCACAGCAGCUAUAAAAAACAGCACAUGGAUCACUUCCAUUUGGGUGCACAGAGAGAUCAGGACAGACACAUCGAUCUCUGUACGUUAGCUUGUGUGGUUAGUAUAGUGCUCCUGAACUCUUCAUUCCAAGUUCAUUGCUAGCUAGGUCAGGUGAAUGAAAAAUGGAGAACUGUGCAUGUAGGAGUUCAUUGCUAGCUAGGUCAGGUGAAUGGAAAAUGGAGAACUGUACAUAUAAGAAUAGGAGGUAUCGAGAUUGCUAGCUAGGUCAGGUGAAUAGGUCAGGUGAAUGUAAGAAUAGGAGGUAUCGAGAUUGCUAGCUAGGUCAAGCUAGGUCAGGUGAAUGGAAAAUAGCUAGGUCAAGCUAGAUCAGGUGAAUGGAAAAUGGAGAGAACUGUACAUGUAGGUGAAUGGAAAAUGGAGAGAACUGUACAGAACUGUACAUGUAAGAAUAGGAGGUAUCGAUAUAACAUAACACCGCUUAGCUGACCAGUAUCGCUCCAAUAGUAAUGUUGGAGGAGUAUGAUCGUCAUUGCUAA